rnacentral:rRNA from 1 species
UACAGAGGUCUCAAGCGUUGUUCGGAUUCAUUGGGCGUAAAGGGUGUGUAGGUGGCGCGCUAAGUCGGGUGUGAAAUUUCGGAGCUUAACUCCGAAACUGCAUUCGAUACUGGCGUGCUUGAGGACUGGAGAGGAGACUGGAAUUCAUGGUGUAGCAGUGAAAUGCGUAGAGAUCAUGAGGAAGACCAGUGGCGAAGGCGGGUCUCUGGACAGUUCCUGACACUGAGGCACGAAGGCCAGGGAGCAAACGGG